UGUGAACUCGAAGAGUAGGGCGGGACACGUGGUAUCCUGUCUGAAUAUGGGGGGACCAUCCUCCAAGGCUAAAUACUCCUGACUGACCGAUAGUGAACCAGUACCGUGAGGGAAAGGCGAAAAGAACCCCGGCGAGGGGAGUGAAAAAGAACCUGAAACCGUGUACGUACAAGCAGUGGGAGCACCUUCGGGUGUGACUGCGUACCUUUUGUAUAAUGGGUCAGCGACUUAUAUUCUGUAGCAAGGUUAACCGUAUAGGGGAGCCGAAGGGAAACCGAGUCUUAACUGGGCGUUAAGUUGCAGGGUAUAGACCCGAAACCCGGUGAUCUAGCCAUGGGCAGGUUGAAGGUUGGGUAACACUAACUGGAGGACCGAACCGACUAAUGUUGAAAAAUUAGCGGAUGACUUGUGGCUGGGGGUGAAAGGCCAAUCAAACCGGGAGAUAGCUGGUUCUCCCCGAAAGCUAUUUAGGUAGCGCCUCGUGAACUCAUCUUCGGGGGUAGAGCACUGUUUCGGCUAGGGGGUCAUCCCGACUUACCAACCCGAUGCAAACUGCGAAUACCGAAGAAUGUUAUCACGGGAGACACACGGCGGGUGCUAACGUCCGUCGUGAAGAGGGAAACAACCCAGACCGCCAGCUAAGGUCCCAAAGUCAUGGUUAAGUGGGAAACGAUGUGGGAAGGCACAGACAGCCAGGAUGUUGGCUUAGAAGCAGCCAUCAUUUAAAGAAAGCGUAAUAGCUCACUGGUCGAGUCGGCCUGCGCGGAAGAUGUAACGGGGCUAAACCAUGCACCGAAGCUGCGGCAGCGACACUAUGUGUUGUUGGGUAGGGGAGCGUUCUGUAAGCCGUUGAAGGUGGCCUGUGAGGGUUGCUGGAGGUAUCAGAAGUGCGAAUGCUGACAUAAGUAACGAUAAUGCGGGUGAAAAACCCGCACGCCGGAAGACCAAGGGUUCCUGUCCAACGUUAAUCGGGGCAGGGUGAGUCGACCCCUAAGGCGAGGCCGAAAGGCGUAGUCGAUGGGAAACAGGUUAAUAUUCCUGUACUUGGUGUUACUGCGAAGGGGGGACGGAGAAGGCUAUGU
rnacentral:rRNA from 1 species